rnacentral:rRNA from 1 species
GAUGAACGCUGACAGAAUGCUUAACACAUGCAAGUCAACUGUGGCGGACGGGUGAGUAACGCGUAAAGAACUUGCCUCACUGAUAGGGACAACAUUUGGAAACGAAUGAUAAUACCUGAAACUGUGAGAGAGCUUUGCGUCCCAUUAGCUAGUUGGAGAGGUAACGGCUCACCAAGGCGAUGAUGGGUAACCGGCCUGAGAGGGUGUUCGGCCACAAGGGGACUGGGACACGGCCCGUACUCAUACGGGAGGCAGCAGUGGGGAAUAUUGGACAAUGGACCAAAGUCUGAUCCAGCAAUUCUGUGUGCACGAUGAAGUUUUCGGAAUGUAAAGUGCUUUCAGUUGGGAAGCGGUACCAACAGAAGAAGUGACGGCUAAAUACGUGCCAGCAGCCGCGGUAAUAC